rnacentral:lncRNA from 1 species
GGGGAGCAGGGUUUGUAUAAGCCCUGGGCCUGUUGAGGUCAGGGCCUGGUGACCCUAAUUCCUUCCAGACCUGGAUAGGGGUCUAGUCCAGAACCUGCCAGGGAUGGUUUGUCAAAUCUGUUACUCUUCUCCCAAGUAAACCACCAGGAACAAGACACUGUUUUAAAAAUUGUUACUUAUUAUCCCCUUUGGCUUAUUUUUUUUUCUUUCAAAAGCGGCUGGAUGGCAGAGGUGAUAAAGCUGGGAAGAGAGGCAUCCUGGAAGGGCCCGUGUUAUGAAAACCCAGAGUUUCACUCAGAUCGACAGCUGCGUGGGGGCCGGCGCUCCCGGCAGUGAUUGAGUUACCCUCAGCAGCGGGGUCCCGAGGUCGCAAUCCCUGCUGGGGGAGUGAUUGAUGCCGGACUCCAGGGCCCACCUUGGGUGACCCUGGGAUGUCAAUGAGUGACCGCUGAUUCUGGGCCACUUGGUUCUGGGCCACCCGCAUGUCCAGAGACCUCAAGGUGGGCCGACGUCCAACCAGCGAAGCAGAGCAAUCCUUUUGGAAGCUUCUCUCCACGGGGGGCUGGCUGCUCCUUCAUCACUCCCAUCUGAGGGCUUCUGCUUGCAGCCGUCUGUCACGCUGAGCAGCUCUGUGGUGGAUUCUGUGCUGCUUGCUCUGUGUCUAUUUUGUCAAGAUCGCCAGUCUCUCUGGAUUCUCUCCUCUGGGUUGGCCCACGCUCACUCAUCCGGCUUUGGAAGGACAUUUAUCCUCUAGCUUCCUCCAGGAGGGGGAUUUGUCUUAGAGAGUGGCACUUUCUCUUCCCUCCCCAGCCCCUCGUGCACCUUCUGCAGGGAGGGGAGUCCCCUGGUGCUGAGAGGAGAGGUAGGAGAGCCAGGUAGGGCCUGUGGGAGCCCAGCAGAGGUGCCCUGGCCACCUUGAGUGUCUGAGACUCACGGUCUAUUAAAAAUGGAAAAACAAACUGGGCACCGUGGCUCCUACCUGUAAUUCCAGCACUUUGGGAGGCUGAGGCGGGUGGAUCACUUGAGGUCAGGAGUUCAAGACCAGCCUGACCAAUGUGGUGAAACCUUGUCUCUACUAAAAAUACAAAAGUUAGCUGGGUUUGGUGGUACACACCUGUAAUCCCAGCUACUUGGGAGGCAGAGGCAGGAGAAUCGCUUGGACCUGGAAGGUGG